AUGCGCUCGCCGCUAUGGUGGCAACACACGUCCGGCCGGCCGGUGGCUGCGCCGAUGACAAGGAGGACGGGCAGCAAGCAGAACACGCUGGCGAAGAAACACAUACACGUACAACGGUCCAGGAGCAGCACCUGGGCAUGGAGGUUUGCAGCAGCUCCUCCUACGUGCCUCGUCUGGGUAGCAGGCAGGAACCCAAGGAGGCACCCUCGAGAGGACUUGAAGAUGGUGGCAUACAUCCAUCCAUCAUGCCUCGCACCAGGAGGCACCGGGAGGGAUCCAGAAGGAACGCCCCAGAAAUUGUGGCAGCGAUGGCAAGCUGAGGAGGAAGAGAUGCCGGCCACGGCGGCGGUCUACCCACGACAGGCGCAUAAGGAGAUGAACAAACGGGAGAAGACCAAGCCUCGGUGA
rnacentral:rRNA from 1 species